GGUGUUUCUCAGGUGAUGAACCCGAUAAUCGGGCUCCCUCCUCUCUGGUUCCAGGAUGCAUCACCCGAGAACCGCU
rfam:Myotis lucifugus cont2.11867, whole genome shotgun sequence.